rnacentral:rRNA from 1 species
CACGGAGGGCGCGAGCGUUACUCGGAAUUACUGGGCGUAAAGCGCGCGUAGGCUGUUGUGUAAGUUGGGGGUGAAAUCCCACGGCUCAACCGUGGAACAGCCCUUGAUACUGCGCGACUUGAAUCCGGGAGAGGGUGGCGGAAUUCCAGGUGUAGGAGUGAAAUCCGUAGAUAUCUGGAGGAACAUCAGUGGCGAAGGCGGCCACCUGGACCGGUAUUGACGCUGAGGCGCGAAAGCGUGGGGAGCAAACAGG